CCAGAACCACAGAGAAUCCCAAUGAAUGAAUGUGUAUGCUCAGAACCACUCCACAGCACCUUCUGCCCCUGAGCCAGAACUGAUGAAUUGGGUCCCCCAUGUCAGUGCAGAAUGACCAAGAAUCCCUAACAUCUCAGGCAAGGACGCGGCUGACUGAAUUGCCAGAGGAGUUUGCAUUCACUGUGACAAGCCUGGGCACAUCGCUCACCAGUGCCCCAACGCAAUCGCCCUGAGUAGAUCCCCUACAUGUGUGAAUGCUAUGUCACCCGCGGACAAGCAAGAGCAGGGAAAAGAAGAGCUCUCACCCUAAAAUGUAAAUGAGAGCUUAGGGAGCAAGAAGCUAGC
rnacentral:sRNA from 1 species